rnacentral:misc_RNA from 1 species
GAUGAAGAACGUAGCAAAUGCGAUAAGUAAUGUGAAUUGCAGAAUUCAGUGAAUCAUCGAAUCUUUGAACGCACCUUGCACCCUUUGGCAUUCCGAAGGGUAUGCUCGUUUGAGUGUCAUUGUACUCUCACACUCCCGAUCUUUGGAUUGGGAGCGGUGGACUUGGGUUUGCUGCUUGCCGUGGCUCACCUCAAAUGGAUUAGUGCAACUCUUGGUUGACCAUAGUACGGCGUGAUAAGUGUCUGCGCCGGCACCUCACUGGGUGGGCCGAUCGGGAGCUCUGUGCUUCAAACCGUCUUCGGACAACAACUGACAACUUGACCUCAAAUCGAGUAGGACCACCCGCUGAACUUAAGCAUAUCAAUAAGCGGAGGA